rnacentral:rRNA from 1 species
CACGUAGGGUGCGAGCGUUGUCCGGAAUUAUUGGGCGUAAAGAGCUCGUAGGCGGUGUGUCGCGUCGGCCGUGAAAACCUGGGGCUUAACUCUGGGCUUGCGGUCGAUACGGGCAUCACUGGAGUUCGGCAGGGGAGACUGGAAUUCCUGGUGUAGCGGUGAAAUGCGCAGAUAUCAGGAGGAACACCGGUGGCGAAGGCGGGUCUCUGGGCCGAUACUGACGCUGAGGAGCGAAAGCGUGGGUAGCAAACAGG